CACCCACCAGCAGACCUGAGGACAGUUACAGCGCUUUCAAUUCAACGGACUGUGAAGCAAAAGGCUACGCCGACCUGAACACAGGGGACUCAGCAUCCAGAGCACAGGAAGGCAAAUGGGGGACGAGGUAGGAACCAGCCUGUGGGGUGAGCGAGCUAAGGCCAGCAAGAAAGGAGAGAGACAGACGGGAGCCAUGUGGAAGGAGGCAAAGCAAAGAAAACGGUUCUUUCCAGCUGUAGGACGUUUGAAACAAGGAAGCGUCGUAAAAGGAAGAAAAUUGACAACUAUAGGUUGUCUCCAGCAGUUGCUCCAAUCAACAUCCUGAAGUUCCUCUCGACCGCAGUUUCACGCUGGCAGUGACCGGUUUCGCUCCAACGCUGUAUUUUUACAUAGCAUCUAAUUAUUCAGGACUGUUUUACGGAGAGGAUCGCAUUCACGGUCACAGCUGGAGGCUGCACCCACAGCCCAACCUGCUGCCCAGCGAACUGCUCCACCGGAGCGGCUGGAACUCCCCCAUGAGGGGCUUUCUACAGAGCAGCGCUGAGAGGAAAAAAAAACAAAUCAAAGUCUGUGUUUUUCAUGUGAGACCUCUGGUUAAUGUGUGACUGUCUGCAGCCUGAGACCCACUUUAGUGGAAUUGUUCUGAACCCACACGCUGCAGAUUGUAAUUUGUUUUCAUCGAAUGAAUGGAUCGGUUGAGGUCCACAUUUGUUUAGAGAGUACAGUGCAGUGCAGUAUAUGUUGCAGUCAUUUAUUCAGUGACUGCAGUCACGCUUAUAAAUAUGAAAAACUCUGCUUGUGACCAGACUGAAUUUCUAAAUACUUUGUACACGGCAGCUACUGUACAUACAAAGUAUAAAGU